UUAAAAAGUUAGAACAGUAGUUGUGUUUAGCGUUUAGGAAAUCAGAAAUUCUCAGCAAAAAUAGCUGCCGCUGGGUGACGGCGUUGCGGCAUGGCUGGAGGAGGCGGCGGCGGCACCGGCACCGGCGGGCGCAAAUACUCGUGCAAGACGGCAACAGAAACUCUGGAGUGGAUCCAUGGCAUAAUAGGCUUCCUUGCCCGUUACCGAUUCUUCUUAGACGCUCACGUCGUCAAUUUCUUCAAGGAUAGACUGUGGGAAGCAGUUGAUGGAGAGUGGAUGGAUUGCCUGCGGAAAGAGCCUGUCGAGAAACUGCUGCAAAUUCCUUCUGGUGUGGUCCAGGAUCAUUGGCCUGCUUCACUCAAGGACUAUGUUCUCACAGUGAGGUCCCUUAGUCUUCCUCGGGACCAGGCAGAUAUACAGGAGGCUUUCCCAGGUGUCAGAGUAGCAGAACUGAAUAACGUAAUUUCCCAAGGCAUGAACCGGAAGAAAAAACAUGAAAUAGAAGUCCUUGCUGCUGUUAUUGGUUCAAUUGCUAGGAGAGUUGGAUCCAACACUGUCAUCGAUGUUGGUUCGGGUCAGGGCUACCUUGCUCAAGUUCUUUCAUUUGAGCAAGAUCUUUCUGUAAUAGCAAUUGAUGCCUCUUCCCACCAUGGGAGCAUCACUGAUGCACGGGCUAAACGAAUUGAGAAAUAUUAUGCAGCUAAAUUAUGCAAUUCUAGAUUACAAAAUAAAGGUUUCAGCAGACCCAGAACAGUCACAUGCCAAGUGCUAUCCCCUGCGAUGUUGAAACAUGUCGGCAGCUCCUUAGUCCAGGUUGACGAUUUGGAUAAGCCUAUUAUUAUCAGAGGACAGGCUGAUAGAAAAUCCGUAGAAGAAACUCAUGGAAGUAAAUCUCUCUCAUCCUUGAAAGACAAUGCCAAGUCUUCAUUGGUUCUGGCUGGACUGCAUGCCUGUGGAGAUCUUUCAGUGACUAUGCUUAGGACAUUCAUGGAAUGUGAUGAAGUUAAAGCAGUGAUAAGCGUCGGUUGUUGUUAUAAUUUAUUAUCUGAAGAUGACACCAUGGAGGCAGAUAAUCAAUUUGGUUUCCCAGUGAGCAAUGGUGCUAAAUCUGCAAGUUUCAAGCUAGGAAAAAAUGCCCGUGAUCUUGCCUGUCAGAGUCCAGAUAGAUGGAGAACUUUGGGAGAAGCUGCUGGCCUCCACAAUUUUGAGCUUCAUUCAUUUCGUGCUUCCUUUCAAAUGGCCGUCAAGGCAAGGCUAUGCGCCGCCAACACAACAGAAGGAUCCUGGAGUUGGAUGCAGAUUCAGCUGAUAGUGCUGAAUCUUUCUCUCAGAAAAAUUGUUCCACCUGGGCUAGAAAUUGUUUGCUUAAUGAGCCUUAUUCGUAUCCAGAAUCUUCAAAUGAAGAGUCUCAUGUUGUUAAUAGAUACUCCAUGUUUGUGAAGUUCUGUAAGUCUGGAUUAGAUCGGCUUGAGUUAAAUGAUUUACAGGAUAUUGAAUAUUCUAGUGUGUGGAAGGAAACAGAAGAAUUUUCUGUAAGUCAGUUUUCCUAAAUUUCUGAUUUUUUUUUCUUCCGGAUGUUUUAUGUUUGUUUUUUGAUUAGAAUCAAGAUGAUUUUCCAUUUUUCCUUGUUUGGUUUUUCUUUAUACAGGGUCUUGUUUCCAAAUUUAGACGGAGAGGUUAAAUCUUGUGAUUAGUAGCAUGUCAAAUAUGGUUGUCCAUCACGAUUGCUUUUCUUAGCAUUCCCCGUAGUCCAGUCCAUUGCUGUGGGAAGGGCUUGGGGUUAACUUGAGAAACAUGAUCAGGGUCACAUUCAGACACAAGCUUGAGCGACUACACUGAUCAUGCCAUUGACAUUUGAGUUCUGAAAAUCUUUUAAAUGAGUGUUGAUAAAAAUAUGUUGAAGAGAUGUGAGCCAUAUCUUUAUGUUGUCAAUUUUCUGUUGGUAGUAGGACUAGGAUGUAGAGUAGAGUACUCCAUCCUCCUUUGGUAUGGUUACUACUUUUAUUACUUUUACUAUUCGGAUGUAGCUAAGUCAUGAAUUUCAUUUUGUUUUUAAUUAAUGCGAAGUUAUUAGAUAAAAAAUAAAUAGAGAAAUAUAGAGUAAAAACAUAGCUCCAUGACUUGCUAUGACUUGGUUGUUAGAAUGCACUUAUUAGGUUUAUCAGUACAUAGAAAUUUUGCUAUCUGAAAUGUAGUUUUGUUAGUUCUGUGUAUAGAAGGAAGCUAUAUAGUUGAAAAGAAUAGUUUUCGAAAGAUGAGAAAUUUCAUUGAGAUGCUGGUUUAGGAAGUAUGGUUAUGCUACUUCUGUGAAUUGUUUGAAUAUUGGUAAACUGAUUAUGGGCAUCUUUAAUUCUUUAGCGGCGAGAAGUUUUUUGCCUUCAAAUGCGGUUUCAUAUAGUUUUCUGUGGCAAUGCAUGUUUAGAUGCAGGGUUGUUAAAUCUGAUCUUUCAACAAGUGCAAAACUGUAUGUUUUCCUUCUCUAUCCAUUUACAGGGUUUGCAUGUGUUCGUGUGUGUCUCUAAUCUACACAUAUUUAGGUGGUUUAGAGCCUCUUAUGAAAUGCUACUAGCUUUUAAUAUUUGUAUCUGCUUGCUCAAAUACAGAUUCCUAUGUGAUAAGAUGUUAAAAGGUUUCUUCUAAAAUAUAUGAUGGUUUAGUAUUUUCUAAGUAUAUUAUCUUAUAUCAGAUGGAUAAAAUAAUUGACUGCAGGAACUUGUUGGGCCAUAUUGGACACUACGGGCUGCUCUAGGACCUAUUUUAGAAACUCUACUGCUGCUCGAUAGACUACUGUAUCUCCAGGAGCAGAGCAAUGUGCUUAGUGAGGCAGUUAUGGUGCCUUUAUUUGAUCCUGUAUUAUCUCCAAGGAAUGUCGCUUUAAUAGCUAGAAAGAUCUGAAACAAUCUUCAGACUUCAAGAAGCAGAAGUUGUUACCAAGCUGGCUGUAGAUCAGAAGCUGCUGCUCUUGCCUGUUGCAUUUAAUGCAACGUAACAUGUUUUCUGCAUACAACAAGAGGUGGGUUUACUCACAUUGCUUGAGUUUCACCACCAUCUCUCUGAUGUUCAUUAUUUUCACUUGGGCGAAGACGAACUUUCAAUCUCUCUCGAGUGCUAUGAGUAAAAAGGAAUGCACCGUGUUAGUCAUAUGAAUGCAUGUCAUCAUGUCCACCAAACUUUUUUCCAGGAGUUGAUUAAUGCUUUUGUUUUUCACUGUAGUGGGUGUCUAUGUGAAAAUGGCAGCAUCUUUUGUUUUCUCUGACUUCUGGUCUUUUAAAGGAGUUAGGACCAGUAAAAUGCGUGCUCUUAUUUGUAGCAAAAUUUUAAAAUUAGAUUGGGUCUGGAACACUGCUUUUUUGUUCAGUGACAUGCGAGUUUUUGUGUCC